rnacentral:rRNA from 1 species
CAGGCCUAACACAUGCAAGUCGAACGCCCGAGUAAUCGGGAAUGGCAGACGGGUGAGUAACACGUGGGAACGUACCCUUUGGUUCGGAACAACCUUGGGAAACUAGGGCUAAUACCGGAUACGCGCGAGAGCGGAAAGGUUUACCGCCGAAGGAUCGGCCCGCGUCUGAUUAGCUAGUUGGUGAGGUAACGGCUCACCAAGGCGACGAUCAGUAGCUGGUCUGAGAGGAUGAUCAGCCACAUUGGGACUGAGACACGGCCCAAACUCCUACGGGAGGCAGCAGUGGGGAAUAUUGGACAAUGGGCGCAAGCCUGAUCCAGCCAUGCCGCGUGAGUGAUGACGGCCCUAGGGUUGUAAAGCUCUUUUACCUGGGAAGAUAAUGACGGUACCAGGAGAAUAAGCCCCGGCUAACUUCGUGCCAGCAGCCGCGGUAAU